rnacentral:tRNA from 1 species
GGCCUCGUGGCCUAAUGGCUAGGGCGCUAGAUUUCGGUGGUUUCCGCCUAAACUCUAGAGAUUGUCGGUUCGAGUCCGGCCGAGGUCG